AAAGAAUUUAGCUUAAUGAAAGUGUUCGAUUUGCGUUCGGAUGAUGCAAGAUAGAGGCUUGUAAUUCUUA
rnacentral:tRNA from 1 species